CCCCCUGUAGCUCAGCUGGUUAGAGCAGGGGACUCAUAAUCCCUUGGUCGCCGGUUCAAGUCCGGCCGGGGGGA
rnacentral:tRNA from 6 species